GACGAACGCUGGCGGCGUUCUUAACACAUGCAAGUCGAACGAAGUGGAGAACGGGUGAGUAAUACGUGGGUACCCUGCACUCCUUUGUGGGAUAAGCCUUGGGAACGGGGUCUAAUACCGAAUAAAGGGGGCUGGUCUCGCGGCCUAUCAGCUUGGUGGUGGGGUGCUGGCCGACCCAGGCGGUGACGGGUAGCAGGCCUGAGAGGGUGACAGGCCACAUUGGGACUGCGAUACGGCCCAGACUCCUACGGGAGGGAGCAGUGGGGGAUAUUGCACAAUGGGCUAAAGCCUGAUGCAGCGACGCCGCGUGGGGGAUGAAGGCUUUCGGGUUGUAAACCUCUGUCGCUAUCGAACGGGUAGGUGUAGAAGAAGCGCCGGCUAACUACGUGCCAGCCGCCGCGGUAAUAC
rnacentral:rRNA from 1 species